AUCAUCAAUCAAGUGAUCAAUCUUUUCUUCAGGGUGCUCGAAAAAAUCUGCUACAUCCAAGCUUGUGAUGUCAACAAUAUUUUCAAAGAGAAAAUUAGCCUCGGCAUUUAUCUCUUUUUUCUUUAGUGAUACUUGAUAAAGAUCAACCAAGUGCUUGAGAGCACGACAGUCACGUGAAUAAUGUCAUUUUCCACCACAUCAGAAACAAGUAAUUGCUUCACAUUUCUCAUCCUUUUUCUUUUUGUUCGAUGAAUGAUUAACACCCGGAACAGGGUUUAUUUCUUGGUCAUCAUGACCAUGACCACGUCCAAGAUCAGGGUCGCGACCUUUUCCAUGCCUAGCAUGGUGAGCGUGCACAUCAUUCACUUCAGGGAAUGGUGCAGAUCCAGUUGGUCAGUUCUCAUAAUUUUUCAUCAACAAAUCAUUAUUUUAUUUAGCCAAGAGAAGAUGAGAACUCAGUUCAAUAUACUUCUUGAAACCUUUUUCUCGAUAUUGCUGUUGUAAUAGAACAUUCAAGGCAUGAAAGGUGGAGAGCGUCUUUUCCAUCAUAUCCACAUCAUUGACCAUCUCUCCACGUAGUUUCAAUUGAGAAGAAAUUCUAAACAUGGCAAAAUUGUACUCAUGAACAGAUAAUCUUGAAACCUCAGAUGCAUCCACUCAUAUCGUGCUUUCGGGAGGAUGACCAUCUUUAAGUGGUCAAACCUUUGUUUUAGGCUAUUCCACAAUACGAGUGGAUCCUUAGUAGUAAGGUAUUCAAUUUUUAGUACUUCGUUAAGAUGAUGACGCAAGAAAAUCACAGUCUUAGCACGAUUUUGACUAGAUGUUGCAUUUUCAUUCUUUAUGGCGUCUCCAAGACCUAUAGCAUAUAGGUGGAUUUCAGCAUCCAACACCCAUGAAAUAUAGUUCUUGCCUGAACUUUGAAGGGCAACGAACUCACACUCCGUAAGAUUGUUAUCCAGAUAGAAAAGGAAAGAAAUAAAAAAAUAAUACCUUAGCCUUAGCCUUCAAAUUUGAGACGGUAGAGUCUCGUGCUGAUAAAGUGUUAUAAAACAAGAAAGAAUAAAGAAGAAGAGUAGAGAGAAUAGAGAGUAAUUGUUAU
rnacentral:lncRNA from 1 species